rnacentral:lncRNA from 1 species
CUAAAAUCUUUGUGGAGCAGAGGAGCGGGCCAAGAAGGAGGCAGCUGAGAAGGAACAGGAGCUGCUAAGGCAGCAGCAGAAGGAGCAGCAGGAAAGGAUGGAGGCCCAAGAGAGAAGCUUCUGGGAAAAUAUGGUACAGAGAAGAUGGAGAGAGAAAGGGAGAACAUCCUGAGAGAGCAGGAAAGGGUGCUGGAGCACAAGCUGAAGGUGAGUCUCUACAGGGCCUGGCAGGAUGUGACAAACACUGCCUGAUAUCUCAGUUUGGGAUGGGACAAAAUGUUAGAUACAGACAGCAUUCCAAAGGGACACCCAGAAGGUAAAUGUUUCACUGACACGGACAUCUCAAGUGCACCUGGAUCCUAAUGAAGCCUAUAAAUCUAAGAGACUUCAACACUCUGUGUAUUGAUAGACUUUGGAGGGUACAAAUAAUAACCCCCUGGUGGUGGAUUACUCUUUGUUGAGAUUAUGUGCCCCAAUUGAGUAGGAUUCUGGCACAACCAUCCAAGAGACCUGAAACAGAUCCUUAUGGUCUGUAUGCAUCAGAUUUGGCCUCAUAUAAAAUUAGGACAGUGAAAGAUCAGAAAUUGUUCCACUUGCUGGUUCAUCUAUAUAAGUAGAGUAAAACAAACCUGUCUCAUAACCAGGAACUUGAUGACCAGUGUUCUGUACAAGGGCAGCAUUUCCCAUGAUUUGUUAGAGCAUCAUAGCCAUGCCACCUUGGUGGAUCUGAGAAUCAAUCAGAAUUCAACCUCAUUCUCCCCCACACAGCAUCCUUUGUGCUGGAAUAAAAUUCCUCUCCACUUCCAGUGAGUGUGAGGAAAUCUCACAAGUGUGUAAGCCCUGGGUACGCCCCCUCUUCAGGUCAAAAGUCUGAAAAUACCAAAGAAUAUUCUAAGGUGGUAGAGAAAUAGACAAAUGUGCUUAACUGCUGAAUUUGUUAAAUUCUGAAUUCUGGCAGUUAAUAACCAGAGAUUCUCAAAGGUGGACUCUUCCUCUUUUAUAGGUCCAAAAAGAAACUUUUUACUGAGGGAUUUAAAGAGAAAUCUGAGGCAUUAACUAAAGAGAUAAAUUUAAGAGAAGAGAUUGAAACAUGUAAAAAGAAGACACCCUUGAUAUUUUCACAGAUUCUUGAUAUAGCUCCAACUGUUUUCCUUGUAAUAGUCCCUGGGACUGGUAAAACUAGUUGGGGUAGGGAUGAAAAUUAUUAGUGCCAUUAAGAGUAGCCAGAGGAUUCCUAAUAGGAAAUCAUAAAAUGAGGCAUCUUUUAUUUUAAUAACAUUUUUCUAUGGUUCCUUUUAAAGGAGAUUGUGUCAUAUCAGUUUCAUUCAAGAAAAAUUUAAAAAUAAAAAGUAGUUAUCAAAGAAUAUGAGUUUAUCCCUAAGAGAAAUGAUUUUUAUUGAAUUGAAGUAAUAAGAAACAAUGAAGACAAUAUGAAAUGAUUUCUAAAAAAGUCUUAACUAAAGCAAAAAAGCUAAAUAGCAAUGUGAAGAAAAUAUUUGCAAUUCAUAUUUAGUCAUGAAAGUUUUUUAAGUCAUAUUGAGCUCUUGUGGAAAAUGACCAACAACCACAUUGUUUAAAUAGAAAGAAACAUGAAGAAAAUUUCAUUUUUACUAAAACUAAUGUGCAAAACAAAACUGAAGAACAUAGUUUUGUCUUCUUAAUGGGCAGUGAAGAACAGUUUUAGUAAUAUACAUCAAAAAUUAAAAUGCACAUACCUCUGAUCUAGCAAUUGCAUAUACAGGAAAUUCGCUUAUGUGACUUUUUACCCAAUUAUAAAUGAUUUUUGUAGUGGUUUACUUAUUUCAGUGUCAUGAUAAUUACAAAAGACUGGAAGCAACUGAAAGUCCCUGUGUCAGGUACUGAUAAGGGAAAUAAUAGGACAUAUUUUCAGAAUAAUACUCAAUAAUCAUUGUAAAAAGUUGGGGAGUUGUAGGGGUAGGGGAUCUCCAAGAUUUAGCAUUAAUGAAUGAAAAAUGUAGAAAAUGUGAAUACUUAAAUUUAUAAAAUAUUGAAUAUGCAUAUAUGUUAUAACCUACCUAUGGAAAAUACAAAACACUAGUGUAUAUGUCACAAUAGGAAGGCACCUGUAUAGUUGAGGUGAAAGAAGAGAGCACAACUAACUUUACAUCAUAUAUUCUUCCAUGUUUUUAACACUUUGUAUGGAUUUUUUACAUUCAAACAAAUACAAGUAUAAUUGGCAAAACUGAAAAUGAAAUAAUAUGUGUUUGGAAAAUUCCCAGGACAGGAUGAAAGUGGGUUUAGUACUACUAGAAAUAGCAAAAUUUCGCUCGACUAGAAAAGACUGCUUCUAAGAACAAGGAACUAGAAAGCACAAGACAUCCUGAUUUUUUGAUUUUCGUUAUGACCUUUCAAUAAGGCCUUUAACAUCUAUUCCACAGAAUAUGCUUUUCAAACUUAGGUUUAAGGCGAACUGGAUCCAAGGGUUGCAACCAUUGAAUCCUUCUGUCAAGUGUUACCCUGACCUUGAUCCCCUUCCAUCCUUACUCCAACCCUUUUCCUGUGGAUUGCUUUCUCCAUGAUGGCUUCAGUCUUCAAACCACUCAUACCCUCUGGAACCACAGCACCAACAGCUACAAAAUUAGAACCCUCCAUCUAUAAGUACAGAGAUUCUCUCUUUCCCAGGAUCUCUACAUACCUCCUAAAAGCUCUCUUGCUAGAAGAUCUCAUGACUGCUGAUCCUGAUGCAUGUGCCUGCUCAGUGACAGGGAGUCCUGACCACCAGCCCUACUUCAUCCGAGUGGAAUAGUACCUGGUGGAAAAGGCCAUGCGAAAAAGGACAAGAACAAACUCAGCACUUCCACUGUUCUCUGAACUCUUACGGCUGAAGAAAUUCUGCACAAAUAUUUGCUGUCCUAGGAGUCUGUGAGUGAUGCAACUUCACAGACAGAUAAGACUCUCACAGAAAAGGAAAGGAGAUCAAACGUGAGCAGAGACCAAGAGACUACAUACUCAAAAAAGUCUCUUUAAAGUUUAAAUAUUUGGAUGAAACUGUUACCAUUAAACUAAGUAAAAAUCACAUAGACUGUCUUGGCUCCUGAAGCCAUUUCUGAGAAUGUUGUAUGCAGUCACUAGCAUCAUGGCUACCCCAUCGAAAAAUAGUCCUAGAACAUUCCCGCUGUCUAUUACAUGUAACAUCAGUGUAAUGAUAAAAACUUUACAAAAAGAUCUUCUGAAGAACCAAUCUGCAGCUUUGGGAGGUCCUGCUCUGUGAAACAGUGGGGACAGCAAUGGCUAAGUUGUACAGUGGACUCUGGCCUUGAAAUGAGAUGGGGCAGAAUCCUCUCCAGAGUUGGGAGAAACACAGUAGGUUCUCACCCUGAGCAGGGCACAGCUGGCCUGAGCUUCCAGGCCUGCCAUUCCUCAUGCCUUCUUCAUAGAAGGGUAUCAGGUGCUGUUCCUUCUCCUGGCCCAUCCCAUACUCUAGACCCCACAGACUUUAUCAUUUAUAUCAACCCUUGUGUCAGUUAACAAAUGCUUCUUUAUACAUUCACAGACAAACCUCCCAUAUCACCACCUGUCCAGGUGAUUCCUCCAGAUUAGGACAAUUCACAUGCUUUUUAGUCACCCAUGGGCAUAAACUGGGAUCAACAUCCAAACACACAGCAUGCUGUUUAUUGUAAUUAGCUGAGGUAAGUUGCAGGAAUAAAUAACAUCCCACACAAGUUCCAAGCUGCUAUUGUCAUCAAUUUUUGUCUCUCUAAUUUGUGAGCAGGAUAAAGCACCUUUUCUAGUUCCAGUGGCUGCCAUAACCCAGGUUUCUCUCCCAGUAUGAGGCCCAGUACAACUCUUCAUUCCAAGCAAACUUGUUUAUCUAAACAUCAUAAUGUACAUGGUUAUGCAAAUAACUGAUCUGUGCCCAGUUGAAUCCUUUUAUGUAAGUUUUGUACACAGUUAGUUCAUAUUAACCAAAUAACAACUGGUCUAACAAGUUAGUGACCAGUUGAAGAUUCAUACCUAAUGUUUCAGAAGUUACCCAGAAAUUGUGUCUUCAAAUAAAUCUUUUCCUUUUUAAGUGGAAA